UAUGGUUAGGACUUCUAAUAUGAUUAGGAGGAGGGAUCCUAAUUUGAUUAGGACAUCCUUAAGUUGUCAUAUAAAGGACCCUAGCCUUUACUUCUCAUAUAAGCUCUCUUUCUCCCUUCUUGCCACCACCUUUCACUGGGCCCAUGCCUCCCCUUCUCUUCCUCUUUCUAGCCCUUGUCCCUUCUCUCUCUUGGCAUCCUCCCUUGGAGCCAAAAAGAGGGUGGGCGGCAUCAUAGGAAGUGGUACCAAUUGUUGAUGCCACUUGCACAUGGUUUGUGUUAGGAUUUGAUGCCUCGAGAUUCAGCCCACAUUGAGCCCACAAC
rnacentral:lncRNA from 1 species